UACGAGUGCCCCGAGCGUUAUCCGGAUUUAUUGGGCGUAAAGCGUACGUAGGCGGUCAUGUAAGUCAGUGGUAAAAUCCCAGAGCUCAACUCUGGACCUGCCACUGAAACUGCACGACUAGAGGCUGGAAGAGGCAAGUGGAAUUGCCGGUGUAGGGGUAAAAUCCGUUAAUAUCGGCAGGAACACCAAAUGUGAAGACAACUUGCUAGCACAGUCCUGACGCUAAGGUACGAAAGCGUGGGUAGCGAAUGGG
rnacentral:misc_RNA from 1 species